rnacentral:lncRNA from 1 species
GCGCGAAUACACCUUCACAAUCAAAUUCACGCGAAACGGCACAUAAAAUAUCGCACUUUUUGCGAAAUUACCGUUUUGCCAACACCGACCUCUCCUCGAUCAACGUGGGAUCUCUGCAGAUCUGUCCGUAAGAUUUGCGAACGGAUUGCACGAGUGCGAUCAGCACCUCGAAGACAACAAAGCUACGAUUCACGAUCGACUACGGAUUCACGACAAAAUCCAAUCUUUCUUUCCAAUAGAAGGAAUAACACAUAAAUACAUAUAAAACAUGUAUUUUUGGAUUUUCUCAAAAUCCGUGCAUCAAACUCAAAAUCCAUCAGCGCCAGUAGUUCCAGAACAGCUGAACCGGUCGAAACGAGCUAUUGGAUCGCUAUGAACGGAGUCCGAUACGCGUAGAAAGCCAACUCUACUCCGUGGCUUCACCGAAAAACUGGAGUUACUAUUCACUUAAGUGAAAACUAAUAAUCGCGUAACUUCUCCGUUUUAGCUCAUUUUCUCCUGAAACUUGACGAGUGCUUAUAUAGUUAAAUUACACACAUAAACAUCAUCAACAGAGAGUUUAGUAGCACUGUAAAAAUCUCAGUCCUUACAGUACUCCUCCAUGUUGGGGGGCCCAGAAUCCCGGGGGCUUCUUCCUCAGCUCCCGUAGGCAUGCAUGCAUGUAUUGAACUAGGAUUCGAACUUGGGAUCUCGGGUAUCAACCAUCAGGUCCUUUGCCACUUGCUCUAGAGACUUUAUUAUUUAUAUUUACAGGAGGGAAAGAAAUAAUUGAAGUUAAUUAUUUG